AAGACAGCAAGUCAAGAGGUGCUACAAUCUCUGUGAUGUACAGUAAGUUAGCUUUUCAUACAAGGAGUAUUGUUGUAUUGAACCUUGAUAGUGUGCCCCAGCCAAACUAUCUUUAGCUAUUCUUAGCAGAGCCCUCAGAGUGGAAACAGGCUGGAAUUACACUCACCUGCUUCACCUGGCUUUUCCACCUUCAGCUACAGCACUUCAGCCCCAAGAGGGGUUUUAAGCUCCAGUCUGAAGGUUUGAGGAGAAAGGUGGGGCAGGCUUAGAUCUGCUCUCUGUCCUUUGCUGGCUUGUUGUUUGUAUUUCCUGAACUAACUUGGCUGCUGAUCACUGGAGGGGUUUUGCUGCUGCCAUCAUCUCGACACUGCUUGCCUGGAUCAGGAGUCCCACCUCUCAGAGCCCUCAGGAAUUCAUCAAGGACUGAAAGGUAAACUCUGCUAAAUUGGGAAAGAAGAAGCUGAAAGACUAAAUACCAAGACAGCAAGGAAUAGAUAAAAAAGGACUGUGCUGCACUGGAUUAAACCCAAUCAUAUUAUCAGAAAAGUGUGUGUGGAGCUCAUGGACAAAAUAGAGAAACCAAUCAAACAAUGUGAGAUCUCAAGCACAGCAGUUGCAAAAUGUAUAUGUACUGUCUUAUGCAAAAGUUGUAAAAUGUAAAAGUAGAGUAGUAAAAUGUAAAAGUAGGUAGAAUGUAUAAGUAAGCAAAGUGUGUCAGUAAGGUGUUAUGUCAAAGUUGUGAGAUGUGUGAGCACAGGGGUAUUUUAAAAAAUAAGACAUUCUGCAUAAUCAUAUUGAUUCGUUGAUCAGAAAGCAUUCCUGCAGAGUAUCUCACUAAAGAUGGCUCAUUCGAGUUACUUGCUGCUUGGACUGAGUGGCUGUAAUUCAAGAUCAAGUGUGCUGGACUCCAGUGGACAGUGAUGUAUUAUAUUCCUGUGAAGAGGAAGACAAACCUCUGCCCCUUCCCAUCAUAUUCAGUUUCAGGUCUACAUAUAAAGAGGGUAAUAAAUAAACAAAGCAGCUAGGAAAGAAGGGGCCAGUAUACUGAUAAGCACAUCAGCUUUUCAGCAUGGUGCUAGCAGUAUAAAUGCCAAUUUUGGGGGGUUUUUUAAUGGGAAUUAGGGGAAUAGUUUCCCUCCAAGACAAUACUUUAACAAGGCUCAGAAUUUCUUCAGGAUGAUCCUUCACCAGCAGGAUUUGUGACUUUCUGUCCACUGGCAAUCUUUGACUUCCUGUCUGCAGGAUCCCCAGCUUGGCCAGGAAUUGUGUCCUAUACCUGAAAGCAAAGCUGGUUCUGUUUAUCAGCUCAGUUAUUUCCUCAGACUUCCCUGGCAAUUCCUUCAGCUCUGCAGUUCUUCUUUCCAAGUACCUUUGCCCCUUUGGGUCCCAUCUGGUUCAGUAUUUAUUGAUUUGGUUGGAAGGUUUUGACUUAGCUCCUCACAGAAGAGACCAGAUAUUCAAAAACCCCUCUUGAUUUCCUGCUGUCAAAUACAUGCCUUCUUCCAACCUCAGUUUUCAUCAAUCCAGCAAUGCCUCUUGCUGCAUCCCUUUUCCAGUUCUACUCUCUCAUUUCAAAGACUCUGCAUGCAGUCCCUGCUUUUCUUCAGAAACUGUCUAACCAUAAUUUGAUUUUUAGGUUUGAGGGGAUUUUGUUUGUCAGUUUUGAUCUGAUGACUCUAAUUUUUUUUAUCUGCAGUUUUCUCUUAUCCCAGGCCCUUUUAGAAGGAUUCCCACCUACAGUGUGAAUUUUAAGAUCUGAUUAUACUACUGACUGUUCUAUUUUCAUCUAAUUGUCUUUAAAUUGAUCCUUACCCUCUGGAACUCAGUAGAAUCCUAUAUUUAAAUACGUGUCCUAAUGCCCUUUGACGCCUUGGGGUAAACUUUACCACUUGUUCUUUUGUAUUUCUCUCUUUUUGACUGGCUUGUCAGUACCACUACAGAGGCUGUCAGGACCCACACAAAGCACGUGCAUUUUGUGAAUUAAUAUUUAUAAAGACAGGCAGUGGGACGUGAUUUUCAUGAGAAAGGUUUUGUGCUAAACACAAAGUGGUUUUGUGUUAAAUUGUUCAUCAACAAAGAACUAAUGCAUCAAGGAAUGACCUUUACUUGCUCAUCUAUGCCAUCAGUCUUAAUUUAGAAACCCAGCAAUGCCCUUAAACAGGAUAAUUAUGAAGUUAAGCUCACACAUAAAUCUUCAGUGUAAAAAUUAGGCAUAUGGGCUGAGGGAUAUUUUAGCUUUCAGUUUUCGUUCUAUAGCACUUUGUUAGCCUAGCAAGAAGAAACUGAGGAACAGCUUGUAAAUUCAGGGGGCGUCAUCCUGAGUCCUCUCUUGAAUUCAAAUCAAGGCCAAAAAAUCUGGGACAGAAAUACCUCAUAUUAUUUCCUUAAUUUUGCAAAACUCUGAGUACAGGUUUGGUGAAGUCUCAUUGCCUGCUCUUGUGCUGUAGAGAGCCUGGGACUGAGUUGUCACAGGCGUGUGUGAGUGACCUCAGCUCCCAUCUCCCAGUGCCUUUCUGGGAUUCCUGAAUCCAGCCUUGAUGAGAAAACUGAUUAUGCUUCCCUACAGAAAUACAUUUUCCCGAGAAAGGGGAUCUAGAAGCAAACGGGGCUCCUUAAAUAGCAUUUAAAUGUUGUAACAUUUGAUGUUUCUACCCUGCAAAGAUGAGAUGGUUGCUUGUGAAGCAGCUCCUUAAAUACACAUUACACCUAAAAAUGUACUCCACCAAGGGCACUGAGGAUGGGUCAAAGCACAGGCCAUGUGUCCAAGGAAUCACUGCACGUACAAACACUGUCAGCUGAGGGACUUGCACUCCCUCAAUCUUUCUCAACUGCCCAGUAUUUAUUCAGUGAUUCCCACUUUUGUGCCUGUGCCUUUUCUUCUUGUCCAAAAGGAUCUGUCCACCCUUUUGUGAUCAGAUUCAGAAAUCAUUCCAGAAGUGGUGUUUCAACUGCAGGUACAGUAUUUCCACACACGGAUAUUGCUGCAGCUCUUUCUUUCAGCUGCCUUUUCUCCUCAGUGACCCUGAAGAAGUUUAGUUUUAACUUACAGACUCCAACUGAGUUGGCUGCAGAGCACUGGGCAAGUGUUAGCUUCAGAGUCACUCUGAGCCUUUGUAAUUUGCUUUUCACGGUAGAAACUUUCUCCUUUCAUCCAAGAAAGAGUGAUAUCCCCCCCCCCCUCCCCAGCUGAACCAGUAACACCAGUACAAUCAGACUUUCACUGAUUGCCAUGUUCCUGUGAUUAGGAAAGGCUGCAUCCUGUAAGUGAACAGAAACACUUGUACCAUUAACUCAUUAAUGGAAAUCCAUCAGGUUCUACAGAGACUCUGUGCUCCAUCUGCAAAUGCAGCUGAUUGUGCUGUCCUGCACAGACCUGCCAGCUCCCCCUUGCAGACAGCAGAUUUAAUCAGCAAAAAUAAAUUGCUUGGGAAUUAGCUCUGCAGGAAAAGCUGGCUCAAAAAUGGAUCAAUUUUAUUGUUUCAGAGAGUUCAUAAGUGUAUCAUUUUUCCCCAACAGACCCUUCUCUCAGGGAGAUAUUAACUGCAAUGGAGCAGGCUCAGUCAUUCAUAUCUUUAUAAGAUGGGCAGGCUUAUCGCCAUGUGAGACGGCUAAAAUAGAUAACCCCUUGGAAUAGGAAUCUAUUCCCCACUGAAGAGUAAAUUCAACUUAGAAGACUGUGCCAGGUCAUGAAUUCCUGAAAUCUAUAGAGCUGCAUGAGGAGAUGACAAGCAUUAGCAGUAAAACCUCUUUGCUGUAAGAAAGAGUUCAUUGCUGCCUAGAGGACUCCAAACUACAGAAAUGGGAUAAGAAAAAUCUCAAGGGAAAGAAAAUUUAACCUUCUGAUCUUCCUUCUCCUGGGCUGAUGGAGAAUCCUCUUGGUCAGUGCUGUGACAGUCCUGAGAAAUACUUCAGCCUGGCAUCCCUCAAGUGUCCACUUGCCAUGACACAGAUUAGAUCAUUGACAAUUUUUCUAUUUUUAAAAGAAUUGUCUUUGCUCUCUAGAUCUGUACAACCUGUGCACUGCUAAAAAUGAGGAAGGAGGCAGGGGUUGGUCAGUCGUCACAUUUUUCUUGAAGCAGUCAUCAAAAUUGGCAUUUAUUUUUCUCCCUUUGUGCUACUUUCUGUAAUGGCAAAUCUUCAAGCAUCAGAAACUGGACUGAAAACAAUAUUACAUUCUGCCUUGAGGUAUAUUUUUCAGAUUAAUACCACCUAUACAAGAAAUAGUAGCUUCUUAAAUUACUGACUCCAGGCUUUGUACGAAAUGCAGCUCCACAAGCAGCUCUGAGUUUUGGUGGCUGUUGGUGUAGAAUAAAUGCACUGUGCAGGAAGCACCUACUAGGAUUUGCAAAGACUCUUUGCAACAGCUUCAGCAAUAAAUAAGUAGUCUCAUUUCACUUAUGUUGUCUCCUCUACCUCAUCUGACCCAAACUCUCUGACACCAGGAAAUUGUGGGUUAAAGAAAAGAGUAAGUUAGGUAUAUCCUAUUUUAUUUUUCUGCUAGAGCUAUUCCACUCCAUACCUGAUUCAAUAUUCCUUGUUUCUUUGAGAUGCAUCCCAGACUCAAAUCUUUUGCCCUGAGAACACUCCAACCUAUAGGCUGCAGACUUAAUUGUGGAUAUCUCCAUUUCAUUCCAAAUCAGCGAGUACUUCAUUAAUAUUACAAACCCCUGCAGCUAUUUCAAAGUUCUCUGCAAUGAUUACCUAUAGCCCCCUGAGAGCACUUUCCUGGAAUAUAAGAAUGUGGUGUAGACCCUUUUUCAUAGGAGCUAGAGGAAGACCUUCUCUCAUACCUCCAAGAUGUGUUUUAAGAAAUACGCUUCAUAAAGCAAAGGCCUCUUUGCACACCUUAAUGAGUAAAGUAUACAGAAAAAAUUCCUUAAGUGUUCACAACCACGUAUGCUGGAAAAAAUUUAUGUUCAUCACAGAAAACAAUUCAGUAAAAGCAAAAUAUGACAAAGGACACUGAGUAAAACACUAGGAUGGAAGCAACAAAAAUAAUGUGAAUACUCUCUUCAGUCCCUCAAGGCUUCUUGCCUGUGGCUAGAACUCAUCAUUAUUUCCCCUGGAACUGUCCUUACUCUCCUGUUCUUGAAAAAAAUCUAUAUCAUGGUUUUAUCCUGAUGUUAAUAUAUUUGAAUUUAAUGCCAAGAGCACUAGAGUGGGAUAAUGGUAAUUACUCGAGUACUUUUGCAAAGGUAUGGUCGUGAAUCUAUCAGUAGCAGUAGCUGCAGGUUUUCUGUGUAGGGUUUUGAGAGAAGAGUGAAGAAUCUGCAUGAACAGCUUCAAGGUGAAACAGUUCACCAUCCUCACUAGAUUUUCACCUAUUGCAGACAUUUGUAGUUUAAAAGAAUCUUGAAACUGAGAGAAUUAAAAAGUCAUCCAUCUGCCUAUGAAAGGCUGACAGGAAAUUAUAUUCUUCUAAAUAAACAGUUUUAGUUCUGUGUCAGACGGCACUGUGCUAUGCUAAGAACCACUCUCUAACCACUAAAAAUCGAGGAUUUCUCCCCAGGUUUGAGUGGGAGUUUUACUCCUUGUGUGUGGAGCGAAGGAGUAUCAGAUCCAUUUGUGACCCAUGCCAGGUCAAGGUGCUGGAGGGGCUCCUGCCACCCUGCUACACUGAGUAAUGAAAUACCUUCAUCAGCACUCCUGGCUUUGGGGAACAUGAGGGGAGAAUCUGCUGACAUUUGGAGAACAGCAAGCAUUCCCUUUAAUAUUUUAUAUAUUUGUCAAACAAGUAAUUAAGCUGUUUUGUAAAUGUGCUGUAAUCAUAAUAAAUACUCAGUGGAAGGCCUCAGGUAAUGAGGGUUGUGCAUUGCUGGGAAUGGGCUGACUGGGUAAGAUACAGUCAUUUGUAGAUUAAGUCUCUAGAAUUCUCUCAGUGUAAAAGGACGGGCAGCUCUGGAAUUUAUUACCUCUCACGAGAAAAUGAACAGAAGCCUUUACACUCUCCCUUCACAGACAUUUUUUUCCUGUGUUUUUAGAAGGUAGUCUAAAUAUUUCAGAGGUUAUUCACAUUCCACAAACUCAGUGCAGUUCCAGUUGAUUUAUUGGAAGGUUAACACAUCUGUGUUCUCAGUGAUAUAUUCCUGAAUACCUGAUAUGCCUGAAUGCAACUUUAAUUCAGAGCUACAUAUGUUUUGAAGAGAGACAUUUUCAAAACAAGAAUCUAACAAAGCUCAUUUGAGCAAACAGGGCAGGAGUCUGUGGCCCCUGCAGUCAGGGAUUCAGAAUUGAAUGAAUGUAGAUGCCCCUCUAAAUAAAACUGAAUUUAUCAAAACAAAACUGUGGAUAGAGCCCCUGAAUAGUUCUUGGUGUCUGGUAUAAAGGCCUGCCUGGAUUUGAUUUAGCAGAUAGGGAAGAAAAAGGCUCCCUGUGAAACAAGUUGAUUAAAAGCCAUUCAUAAUGUGAUAGAGAACUGAAUUACUGAAAUAAUGCCUGAAGUGUGAGAGCUGUUAAUAUCACUUUAAACAAAACUAUCACAUAAAAUAUUCAUUAGCACACAGAAAAUUAAAAGAUAACAUUUGAUUAAUCUGUUUAGUCUCUAAACGACUAAUUAAUCUCAUUAAUAUAGUCAACAUUUUAUGAUAGAUAAGAGAAAUUAUGGCAGCUAUAUCCCCUUCUAUGUUUAGGGACAGCUAAAAGAUAUUUUAAAAUAUCAACUUUUGCCUGGAUAUUUCUGGGAUGUCUUCAUGGAGAAGAAACAAAGAGCAGCAGUUGCCUGGAAGUACAAGGAGUGAGCAGAGCUGCAGGACAGCACACUCCUUUUAACAAGCUCCGUAUUCACACGGAUUUAUAACCUUAUUAUUGAGAGGUCUGGAGCCACAGAUACAGCUCAGAGCUCAUACAAGAAAAUUGGUUUUCAUACUUUCCUUCUUCUGUACAUUUAACAGUGAUUCUUUACCUAUUUUUCUGUCUAAACUUCAGCUGUGCCACGAUUCCAAAUGAUUAAAGCCUUUCUGUACAGUGCAGUCAGAAACAAGACAUGAGUUAGGGUUUAAGAGUCCUAGCCAUUGUAAUGUAGGCUAGGCUUGUUCCUGCUGCUGUUUUCUACUGAUUGUAAGGGGAAAAAAAUAUCAGAGCUCCACUUAAAAAUAUUUUUUUGGCAAGGAAUUUAAAAGUUAGUCAUAAAAUGCGGUGGGUAUUGAAGCAAUACAUCACAAAUCGGCUUAAUGAGGUGCCAUAAAUAUGUAUGUACCUUGUAAAGACAGCUACCCAAAGAUUACCUCUUUCAAAAGCAACCCUGUACUAGUAUCGUGGGAGAGAGGCUGUUGAAUCUAAGGAUGGUUUGAAAACUAGAUACAGCAUCAAACUUUAAAUGUAUUUUUGCACAUUAACAUUUUCCCAAACUUUAUUCCAGUUUCCCAUUCAUUGAGUCGUUACAAGAAAAGGACUGCCUUGAGCAAGAAACUUCAGAGUUUUCGUGAUUUGUCAACAUUUUUUAACUCCUCAAAGGUGCUGAUUCGGCAAAACAGAGAGGAGAUGAAAAAUUUCAAAAUUCAAAAUACUUUGUAAUUCUUCCUGACUUAUAAUUAUCCCUAAAACUGCUUGGUGUUCUCUGUAUGCCUUAAAAGAGCCCAUGUUAAAGUUCAGAUACUUUUUCCUUCUGGGGAGAAGGGAAAGGAGACAAUUCUUUUAGGUGGAACCCAAAAUGAAUGCCAAAAUUUGCCCUCAUUGACUACAGUUUAAAUGCACUCAGUCAUUUCAUUAUCUCCAGUGGUGUGAGUAAUGUCCUACUUUGCUCUGGGUGGAAUUAAUUCCCACACAGGCAGGGAAGUGCUUUGGGUUCUUUGAAUGUGC